UACGUAGGGGGCAAGGCGUUGUCCGGAUUUAUUGGGCGUAAAGAGCGUGUAGGCGGCUUUGCAAGUCCGUUGUGAAAACUCGAGGCUCAACCUCGAGACGCCGGUGGAAACUGCAAAGCUAGAGUCCGGAAGAGGAGAGUGGAAUUCCUGGUGUAGCGGUGAAAUGCGCAGAUAUCAGGAAGAACACCCGUGGCGAAGGCGGCUCUCUGGGACGGUACUGACGCUGAGACGCGAAAGCGUGGGGAGCGAACAGG
rnacentral:rRNA from 1 species